CGCCCGCCUCCCGCACGGCGCUCCGGCCCGGAGGCCGGUGGGUCUCCUGGUGUUCUCAAAGGUUUUUCCCAUUUUUCUGUGAGAAAGCAGGGAUCUACAAGCCAGACAUGCGUCUCCAUACACAUUGCCACGUGUUUAUUAACUGCUCAUCUGUGCCAGCGCAUCAGCACCGUCCUCACAGGGAGAAGAAUGGAUUGAAAAUCCUUUUUCUAAGCAGGAAAAAAAAAAAAAAAAAAAAAAAAAAAAAAAAAAAAACAACACCUCCAGCUUGCUAUAGGGUAAAACAGGCGGGUACAAAAGGAAGCUGUGCCUUGUACCUGACAGCAGCACCAUUUGUAUUUUGCAUUUUGCAAUCUUUUAGAUAGUCCUUUCAUCUGUGUGCAAACCAGAGAUUUCUAGAGAUAAUUGGCACUGGGUUCUGGGCUACAGCCCCACCAUUCCCCAGACAAGCAUCACUGCAUCCCACAGAACAGAAAAUAACAAGAUCCUACAACAUUACCAUGACUGGGAGCAGGAAAGAAGAAACCCAUCAGACUUUAAAAGUCAUUUUAUUUCAAUAUGUGGCUGUCAUUUUAAUCUCUUUAAUCAUCUCCUGGUGCAACUCUCCUACCAUCAUUCCUUUCGGAUGCGAGCUAAAUGAUGACACUAUGCAUGUUCUCACCCAAGCCCUGAGCACUUAGGAACAUGACAGCUAAUGAUGAUGGGUGCCUGAAGAUCCCUGAAAGACUUUAGCAUCUCUGGAAAUAGCAAUCUAAGCAUGGAAUGAACUCCAGAACCGCAGGCUUGCGUGUGGCACAGAGCACUCCAUGGAGAAUCCUCUGGAGAAUAAGGUUUAUGUGGUUUGCAGCAGUCUCCAAAACGAAUUCUAUUGUGAAUCUGACCACAACAUCCAUCCUCUCAACCUGUGACCUUUGUGAUGUUACCCCCAUCCUGCAGUGUCUCCAUAGUUUUUCUCCAAACCUGCCCCACAGCAGCAUCUCUAAAUACCUGUGAGAGAGGAAAAAACAGCAGUGCAGGUGCUUCACUCCCAUCCCUAUCUACCAAAAUGGUGUGAGGGACUGGUUUGAACUGUAUCAAGCAUCAAACCAGCCCUGUGCAGGGAGGACUGGUGAAGCUGUCAUACCUGAACAGGACUAGUGUGCCAUGGGGUAUGGGUUCAGAAGCAUCUAAAUCAAUUCAAGACUGCUUAUCCCUUAAAUAGAACCAACACUGGAUCACAUGCAGAGGUUUCCUUAUUUGGGAGGGGAACUUUGCUUCUAACCCUUUUGGUUUUACUCAUUCCACUUAGGAGGAAGAAACCAAAAGUAUUUUUAAUUUGCCUUUUCCUAGGCUCCAGGACAGUUUUCCCUAUGCUGUAAGUUGUCAUACUGAUAAAAAUAAUAUCAUCUGCAGGUCUUCAUUUUAUCCCAAUGUAUAAGUUAUUCUUGGAAAGAUGGGAGUGGAGAUGGCAACACACUUCUUUUGGGGAUCUCACAGCCAAUUAGUUGCUCCUUCUCUACCUCUAAAACGCAGAAUGGUGUUAGCACUGUGCUGUUAGUGCAGUAUUCACCUUGUGUGGAGUCAGAAAGUGCAGUGUGCUUUUUUCUGCUUCAAUAAACACGGGGAUCUCACAGACAAUGCUUUCUUGGAUGAUUAGGCAUAGCCAAACUCCCCUGCUGUGAUGCCAGCUUAGGACUGACUGUUUUUACCAGUGAGAACCAAGCCCUUGGAGACACACAGAGAUUCAGACACAUGAAACUCUCUUCCAGCUGG
ensembl:lncRNA